UCAGGUCGCUGGGGAGACAGGGCCACGAGGAAAACCCAUGUGCCUCUCUUCCUAGUGACACUCUCCAUCAUAUUAUUGGGGAUCCCAAAGCUUUACUCCAGACCUGCCAAAUCAGAAGCUCUCCUCGAAAAGAUCAUAGAGCACCAAGACCUGGAUCACAAAUCCAACCUACAACAAAUUUACAUAUAAUCCUCAGCUCCAUGGUCAUUUUAGGAAAGUUCCUAUGUCCUUUUCCAGGUUUGUAGUUUUCCACCUGUCUGUCCUUCAGUGCAUUUUCCACCUCAUGAUCAAAGGAAAGCAUCUGACCACUUCCACUCCUGUCAGUAAGGAACAUUCUGAAAUUCAUCAAUAGUUACCUUGUACCCCUGUCAGAUUUUAACCUUGAUGGUGCCAUGUUCACAGAACUUUGUGUGUCUCUCUCACCUCUUGUUUGCAAGGUGUGAUGGGCAGCCAUGGUCCAGCAGCUCAUUCUGCAUCCCACCACACACUCGCCUACCUGUCCACCCUCUAGCGCCUUCUGGCCUGCCGCACAUAGCCUCCGGAAGGAAAUCAAAUGGAGUCAGCAUACCAAGACAUACCAGAACAAAUGGACAACCUCUUUCAUCACAAGCAUGUGGGUUCUAGAGCCUUUCCUUGGAACCUAGAAGAUCAGCCCUCCCCAGGACUUCAACAAUAAACUGGUUUAAACUGUUUAACUAUAUCUGUGAUUGUUGCCGCUCCAGAGUCUAAUCCAACAAUUAUGACAGUUCAUUUAGAAGGGCACAGGCCUUGUAAACGAACAGUGGAGAUUUCCAUAUUGGGUGCUGGUUUUCCUUCAUUUUCAUGUUGUUGCGCUUCUCAUACUUGCCUUUAAAAAGUCUUAGACUA